CCCUUAGAUGUCCUGGGCUGCACGCGCGCUACACUGGAAGUUACGGAUUGAGAUACUACCUUGUCCGAAAUGGUCCGGGUAAUCACCUAAAAGCUUGUCAUAAUUGGAAUGGAUUAUUGUGACUAGUAAUCCUGAACGAGGAAUUCCUAGUAAGUCCCAGUCAACAGCUGGUACUGAUUACGUCCCUGCCCUUUGUACACACCGCCCGUCGCUACUACUGAUUGGACGUUUAAGCAAGAUUUUUAAACACUGACAGUGUGUAGUUCACGCUAUACUACAGUGAGAAGAAGAAGAUCGAGCUUACUUGUCUAGAGGAAGUAAAAGUCGUAACA
rnacentral:rRNA from 1 species